rnacentral:rRNA from 1 species
AUUGAACGCUGGCGGCAGGCCUAACACAUGCAAGUCGAACGAGUGGCGGACGGGUGAGUAAUGUCUGGGAAACUGCUCGAUGGAGGGGGGUAACUACUGGAAACGGUCGCUAAUACCGCAUACCAUCGGAUGUGCCCAGAUGGGAUUAGCUAGUAGGUGGGGUAACGGCUCACCUAGGCGACGGUCCCUAGCUGGUCUGAGAGGAUGACCAGCCACACUGGAACUGAGUCACGGUCCAUACUCCUACGGGAGGCACCGGUGUGGAUUAUUGCACAAUUGGCGCAGGCCUGAUGCAGCCAUGCCGCGUGUAUGUAGAAGGCCUUCGGGUUGUAAAGUACUUUCAGCGAGGAGGCGUUACUCGCAGAAGAAGCCCCGGCUAACUCCGUGCCAGCAGCCGCGGUAAUUC